rnacentral:rRNA from 1 species
UAAGGAAUAUUGGACAAUGGACGAAAGUCUGAUCCAGCCAUGCCGCGUGAAGGAUUAAGGUCCUCUGGAUUGUAAACUUCUUUUAUAUGGGACGAAAAAGGGAAUUCUUUCUCACUUGACGGUACCAUAUGAAUAAGCACCGGCUAACUCCGUGCCAGCAGCCGCGGUAAUACGGAGGGUGCAAGCGUUAUCCGGAUUUACUGGGUUUAAAGGGUGCGUAGGCGGAUAGGUAAGUCAGAGGUGAAAGCCUGGAGCUUAACUCCAGAACUGCCUUUGAUACUAUCUAUCUUGAAUAUUGUGGAGGUUUGCGGAAUAUGUCAUGUAGCGGUGAAAUGCUUAGAUAUGACAUAGAACACCUAUUGCGAAGGCAGCAGGCUACACAUAUAUUGACGCUGAGGCACG